GACGAACUGUGCAAACGUUAUUCGGAAUCACUGGGCUUGAAGAGUGCGUAGGCGGUUUUUUAAGUAGGGUGUGAAAGCCCCCGGCCCAACCGGGGAAUUGCGCCCUAAACUGCAAGGCUGGAGUGAGGUAGGGGUGUGUGGAACUUCCAGUGGAGCGGUGAAAUGUGUUGAUAUUGGAAGGAACGCCGGUGGCGAAAGCGACACACUGGACCUUGUCUGACGCUGAGGCACGAAAGCCAGGGGAGCAAACGGG
rnacentral:rRNA from 1 species